UGGGGAAUUUUGGACAAUGGGGGCAACCCUGAUCCAGCAAUACCGCGUGUGUGAAGAAGGCCUGCGGGUUGUAAAGCACUUUAGGUGGGGAAGAAAGCUAUUGGACGAAUAAACCAGUAGGGUGACAUAACCCACAGAAUAAGCACCGGCUAACUCUGUGCCAGCAGCCGCGGUAAUACAGAGGGUGCAAGCGUUAAUCGGAAUUACUGGGCGUAAAGCGCAUGUAGGUGGUUUAAAAAGUUUGAUGUGAAAGCCCCGGGCUUAACCUGGGAAUGGCAUUGAAUACUGUUGAACUUGAGUCGGUGAGAGGGCAGUGGAAUUUCCGGUGUAGCGGUGAAAUGCGUAGAGAUCGGAAAGAACAUCAGUGGCGAAGGCGUCUGCCUGGCACCAGACUGACACUUAAGUGCGAAAGCGUGGGGAGCAAACAGGAUUAGAUACCCCCGUAGUCC
rnacentral:rRNA from 1 species